rnacentral:rRNA from 1 species
CGCGUAGGUGGUAAGGUCAGUCGGAUGUGAAAGCCCCGGGCUUAACCUGGGAACUGCAUUCGAUACUGCUUUGCUAGAGUAUGGUAGAGGGAAGUGGAAUUCCGGGUGUAGCGGUGAAAUGCGUAGAUAUCCGGAGGAACACCAGUGGCGAAGGCGACUUCCUGGACCAAUACUGACGCUGAGGUGCGAAAGCGUGGGGAGCGAACAGGAUUAGAUACCCUGGUAGUCC